rnacentral:lncRNA from 1 species
CUAAUGCAGAAUUUCCCUCUUCUGCAGCUGGGAGGAGAAUGUCCAUCAUUUCCAGAUGUGGACAUAUGAUCCAGGAGGCAAUUGAAGCAAGRAUUUCUUUAUCGCUGAACUGAAUUGAUUGCUGGUGUGGGACUGCGUGAUUAUUAGCGUGGGACUACUUGUACACUGCUAUACACUGUGAGUAAAUGUGGCUUUUUUGGGUGCAGAGGAAUUGUGUAAGGGCCUGAUCCRUGGCACGGGAGGACAUGACUUGUUC